AUCCAGGGUGGAAACCAGACAGUGGAAAGUAUGCAGCAAUGCUGAAGAAAGAAACUCCUCCUCACCUAUCCUUGGGCCAUGGCAUAGGCUGAAACCUUCCUUCUGUAAACCCGCCUGAGGUCUGCCCUCACUCUGCUCAGUGGACUGGUCAUCCAAGACUCGGGUCUCAUGUCACACUAGAGUAAACUGGGCUCCAGCUGCCAUUAAAGGGCUGUGAGACAGUCUGUAAAGUGACAGAAGAAACAAAAGUCUGGGGGAGAGAGAAAAUACCAGCAUGCAAAUGUGAGAAGGCCUGAUGGGAAGAGAGCAGAGAGGUGCAUCUAUCCUGACUUCAGGAUGUCUUUAUGCCUGGCUGAAGAUGCCCAAGUGAACCAGCCCAAUAGGGAGUAUAACAACAUUGGAGCAGCACAGCAGCUCCAUGGCUUGACCUUGGGGCACUGACUUGUCUCACAGAUGGGUCAAUAUUUGCCAAGACUCCACUUAGUAAUUGCCAUUCCUGUGGGAACUCUCUACAAGCAUUUCCUAGGAACAAGGAACACAGAAUAGGCAUCUAUAGACAAAAUUACAAAGCCUGACCUUGUGGUACUUAUGCCUCCACUAACUAGAACUGACUAUGUGGAUAUCUGUCAAAACUCUAACUAGGUCUCAUUUCACUUUGGUUUUUUUCCUACACAGUUCUGCAGAAAAGACUUCAUACAAAGUUGCUUUGAGAUACAUCAACAGAAGAACAGUCCAUGACAGAUGUCACCACCAUUACAGAUAGCUGACAGAUAGAGGUCCUGGACUGAAACUGUGUCCAAGGCCUGAAAAAAUAGAUGAUAAGAUUAUCAAAUCCCAGCACCUCACAGAGUUACAUUAAUAAUCCUAUGUAUGUAUGUAAUGGAUGUCAGUAAUCUGCUUUUGGCCCUUUCAGUUGCGCCUGCAAGGUCACUGACCCUCCUGAAGCAACUCCUCCAGCAGAAUCACUGCAGGAGGAUGCAGGCACAUCCCAUGUGGCAUUUUGGAUUGGCCCCCUAAAGCAGGGGCUCACAUGGCUGAAAGUAUUUCAGCUGCCUGUGGUACUGGGGCCACCACAAUGCUCAGCCACAGCUGUCAGCACCUGCAGGAGAAAGCUGAGCCCAGGGAAGCCGUGGAAAUGUGAUUGCUUGCUGUUGUCUCCAUAUCCACUAAACUGUGGUGUGUCACUAUACAUUAAAAAUAUAAUACAUGGAAGUGCACAUUUAAUCUAUCAAAGAAGAAAACACAGUUUAGGUAAACACUUUUAUGCCAAGCCAGGAAGAAGAACAAGACCCCUUCCUCUGUUCCAGUCUGAGAAAUAAAAAAUACACUUUUCUGAUCCCCCACCACUUUAAUGACAUCUUCCUUAUAUCUAAUACUAAAACCACACCAGAAGAAACCUGUAUCCCAUACAAUAGCUCUCCUACUCUCUGCAAAGAUCUGCUUACAAUUUAUUAAUACUACCAUAGAACUGAAGCUAAAAGACAAUGAAAUUAAAGAAUAAUGAAAAGCUUCUCAGCCUGUAAUUAAUCUGCAACUAUUUACAGAUGAGAAAAUCUGAAAUCUUCAGUACAAAUUAGAUUUUGGUGGAGUAGGAAUAACAGCCCAAAUAUAUUAGAUAAUAAUUCAAACUGCAAAGAAGGCAUACACUCAUCUUCUGUUCUUAACAUUUCUUAUACUACAGGUCAAAAAAACAUUUCUGUAUCAAGUUCAUCAUUUUCUAGGGGACUGCACUCUUUGGAGAGAUACCUAAUAUAAACUGACAGAUAGAGAUGCUUCUAGCUAUUCCUGCUUUUUGGACGGGGGUGUGUUGCUUUUCUUUGUUUCAUAAUGUUGUGUAUGUUUUUCAGUUGCUAAAGGUCUGAGAUAGCUUAAUUUCACAUUUGCCAAAUGGCAUUCUAGGGAAAUGGAAAGAGUCUUACCUACACAUUACAGUUUCAGGUUAAGCUCACUUCUGAUCUGGUCUUUUCCCUUGUUUUGGUUUUCAGUUAGAAGCUUUUCCUCAAAGAGCAAAUAUCCAACCAAACUUCACCAUAGCAGUGUUUUUGGUGUGUGAAUCCAAGGAAGGUAAUUACCUAUUUUAAAAGAGCUUACAAUACAACCCAAGAAUCCUCAGAAAGUUAAAAUAUUUUAAAAUUGUCUUAGUGUCAAAGUUAUGACUAUAUAGUAUUUUUGUAGAAUACCUGUAACUUUCAGAAUCAAGGAAUUUAGCAAACAAUAUUCAUUUGCAUUAUAUACAGAGUAUUAAAUGUAGGUCCAUCUUCUAAUCAAAAUCCUUAGGUUUUUUUCAGUUGUGAAUGCUGAAGGUAUGAACAAUAUUCA
rnacentral:lncRNA from 1 species